AAGGCGCACUCACCAGAAUCAAUGAAGCGACAAGCAAGCAGCAGCGCCUCUCUGAAAGAGCGUUUUGUAAACAGAUUUUGGCGCAUGCGUACUAAACGUCUAAGGAGCAGGGAAACUAAUCGAGCAAGAUGGCUGGCUAAGAAGAUUUGAACUUUGACAUGAAUGUGAAGGAGCAAGGCAUGGCAAAAGAAGGCACGCGGACAGGUCAGUCCCAAAGUAGCCGCAGAGGUCCUGAGAUCACAUUCCAGCUGUUAUGGUUCAGAGCAAGACAGCCCCCUGCAGGAGGAUCCAACUCGUCCUGCGAGCUGUGACUGCCAUCCAGAUGAAACUGGUUGGUAACCAGACGGGCUCAGAGCCGAACUGUGUCCUUGGACCUGGGGAAAGACAAACAGGUGUUACCUGCCCCUGACGCUGCCAGGGUUCAUUUAUCUCAUCCUGUUCUGGCAAGUUUGAAACUGACCGACUCAAAAACCCCAAAACAAUGACCCCUGUUUUUAGACUAAAUUAAAGUGGGUCAAUAUAUGACACACCUUUUGAUGUAGCCAAUCAGACAGGAGGAGGAGACGCUGUCAUGUCUGAUUUGAGAUCAAUUCAGCCAAAUUGUGUUUUUUUUUCUUUAUAUAAAGUGUAAUGUGGAAUUAUAGUAUUUAAAUGAUGAAUGUAUAAUGUGUGUUUAGUUUUUUUCACUUAGUUUAUUCAGCUACACGCUGCAAGACAAAGGUCAUCAGGCUUUUAUCAUUGUGCUUGUCGUCUUCUCAGGGGCCCAACGGCUCUGUGGAUAAAGGGUAAGGAGGAUUUGAACUUUAAACUUUAUCUAGAGUGUAUCUUUUGUAGGUUUCAUAUAUCCACCUCUUCUCGCUGACCUAUUUAAUUUUAAUUUUUUAUUUAACCUUUAUUUAACCAGGAAGAAACUCAUUAAGAUUAAAAAUCUCUUUUUCA